rnacentral:tRNA from 1 species
GCGUCCGUAGCUCAGUUGGUUAGAGCACCACCUUGACAUGGUGGGGGUCAGUGGUUCGAGUCUGCUCGGACGCACCA